CUUCCUUAAUUUUUUUUUCAGAUUCUCCCUUACUACGUAAACACGUAUCUGGUUCACGUACCUGGCUUUCUCGGUCUAUUUCUUGCAGGCAUCGUCAGUGCUGCGACAAGCACGGUAUCGUCUACAAUUAACUCCCAAGUGGCCAUUCUAUAUGUGGAUGUGAUUGCUCAUCGUUACAAAAAUGCUGAUCAUCAUGUGCUGUUGAUCACACGUGGAACAGCUUUCAUUUUAGGAAUUUGUAUGACAAUUUACAGCACGUUUUGCGUACAUAUGGGAUCUGUAACAAUG